CCUACGGGCGGCUGCAGUGGGGAAUAUUGGACAAUGGGGGCAACCCUGAUCCAGCCAUGCCGCGUGUGUGAAGAAGGCCCUCGGGUUGUAAAGCACUUUCAGUGAGGAAGAACGCCUGGUGGUUAAUACCCAUCAGGAAAGACAUCACUCACAGAAGAAGCACCGGCUAACUCCGUGCCAGCAGCCGCGGUAAUACGGAGGGUGCGAGCGUUAAUCGGAAUUACUGGGCGUAAAGCGCGCGUAGGUGGCUUGAUAAGCCGGUUGUGAAAGCCCCGGGCUCAACCUGGGAACGGCAUCCGGAACUGUCAAGCUAGAGUGCAGGAGAGGAAGGUAGAAUUCCCGAUGUAGCGGUGAAAUGCGUAGAGAUCGGGAGGAAUACCAGUGGCGAAGGCGGCCUUCUGGACUGACACUGACACUGAGGUGCGAAAGCGUGGGUAGCAAACAGGAUUAGAUACCCCUGUAGUC
rnacentral:rRNA from 1 species